rnacentral:rRNA from 1 species
GUGAGGAAUAUUGCGCAAUGGGGGCAACCCUGACGCAGCGACGCCGCGUGGAUGAUGAAGGCCUUCGGGUCGUAAAAUCCUGUCAGAUGGGAAGAAGUGCAUGGUGGUUAAUACCCAUCAUGUUUGACGGUACCAUCAGAGGAAGCACCGGCUAACUCCGUGCCAGCAGCCGCGGUAAUACGGAGGGUGCAAGCGUUGUUCGGAAUUACUGGGCGUAAAGCGCGCGUAGGCGGUUUGUUAAGUCAGAUGUGAAAGCCCAGGGCUUAACCCUGGACGUGCAUUUGAAACUGGCAGACUUGAGUAUUGGAGGGGGUGGUGGAAUUCCCGGUGUAGAGGUGAAAUUCGUAGAUAUCGGGAGGAAUACCGGUGGCGAAGGCGACCACCUGGCCAAAUACUGACGCUGAGGUGCGAAAGCGUGGGGAGCAAACAGGAUUAGAUACCCUUGUAGUCC